rnacentral:rRNA from 1 species
UACGAAGGGGGCUAGCGUUGCUCGGAAUUACUGGGCGUAAAGCGCACGUAGGCGGCUUUGUAAGUUAGAGGUGAAAGCCCAGGGCUUAACCCUGGAAUUGCCUUUAAGACUGCAUCGCUAGAAUCGUGGAGAGGUAAGUGGAAUUCCGAGUGUAGAGGUGAAAUUCGUAGAUAUUCGGAAGAACACCAGUGGCGAAGGCGACUUACUGGACACGUAUUGACGCUGAGGUGCGAAAGCGUGGGGAGCAAACAGG